GUAGCCUCGUGCAAGCAAAGACUACAAGUUUCGUGCUGACGAAGCAUGUGCUGAGUGGCACUGUUUUGCUUUGAGUUGCUGGUUUUAUUUUGACAAGUAUUAAACGUUCAUGAAAUGGUUUGAGAAGUACUUGGUGCCAUCACAACGUAACCAGUAACUGCUCGAUCUUGUCUCAGCAAAUUCAACGUCCUUUUCCAAAAUAGUUCCAACAGUAUUUUUUUCAGUUAUCCGCUUUAGAAUCAACUACAAAGGGCCACUUUCCUACUCUUCCUGAGAACCUUCAGCAUUUUACUCAGAAUUCCUUUGUGGUUCCACAGUCAAUAUUUUAAAUAAUGGCUUUGUCAGGCAAUUUCGUUGGCCAACUGAACGAAAUGGCUCAGGUCAGUCGUUGGGCGGCGCCCAACUAUGUCGAGGUCGCUCCUCCGGAUGGUGGCUUUGGCUUUGCCAUGGAGUGCCAUGUGCUCAAUUUGAAAACAGUAGGUGUUGAUGAUACGAAGAAGAAAGCUCGCCAGGAGUCAGCUCGUCUCAUGCUCCAGGUGAUAGAAGAGUCUGGCGUUCAGCUACCCCAGCAGCCAUCCGAUAAGCGUUAAGAGGGCUUGAGAGCAGCACAAGGCAAGCGCUGAAUGAGCCUGCGCGAGUUGCACAGGCGGCGGCAUCGACAAUUCGACCGCUACAUUACAGAAUCUGAUAUGUACCACACCAUAAGGAUCCACUCAUAACUCAUCCUGAACCUUGUGUUUAAGCAAAUAGUUUUGGCCUUGACACCAACUCUCCCAUUCACCACUGUUAGUUGUUCAUAGUCAUACCGUUGCAUGUUUUACUUUUUUGUUGGAAGUUUUUGUCUCUCUAACUGCCACAGUCUUUGUUUGACUUUUAAAUCUUUGUGUGUGUCGCUGGAUGACAUACACCAUUUCGUAACCCAACUGUAGUACCCAGAUCUCUUUUGGCUGUACGAGCUGGCGCUAACACUACAUAUCUACAUACUGCUACUGCUGGUGUCUGUAUUUGUGUGCUUGGAUUUUUCUGCUCUGCUGUGUGCCUGACAUCUUGUUAAUCCAUUAAUUCCUGUUCUCAGCGCAGUGGUGGCAAUAAAAUAUACACUACCCCACA